AUGGACGCCAUCAAGAAGAAGAUGCAGGCGAUGAAGAUGGAAAAGGAUAGCGCCAUGGAUAAGGCUGACACUUGUGAAGGCCAGUCUAAGGAUGCUAACCUUCGUGCGGAUAAAGUGAAUGAAGAUGUGAGAGAUUGUCAAAAGAAAUUGACUCAGGUAGAAAGUGAUUUGGACACUAACAAGAAUAAGUUGGAGGAGGCUAUCAAGCAGUUAGAGGAUAGAGAAAAGGCACUUACUGCGGCUGAAAGUGAAGUGGCCGCUUUGAACAGAAAAGUUCAGAUGAUUGAAGAAGACCUUGAAAGAUCCGAAGAAAGGUCUCAAGCUGCUGCAUCAAAAUUGGCUGAGGCUUCUCAAGCAGCUGACGAAUCUCAACGUAUGUGCAAAGUACUCGAAAACCGUAGCCAGCAAGACGAGGAACGUAUGGACCAAUUGACUAACCAAUUAAAAGAAGCUCGUCUUUUAGCUGAAGAUGCUGAUGGAAAAUCAGAUGAAGUUUCAAGGAAACUUGCUUUUGUUGAAGAUGAACUUGAAGUAGCAGAAGAUCGUGUGAAAUCUGGUGACUCAAAAAUCAUGGAGUUGGAGGAAGAAUUGAAAGUUGUCGGAAACAGUUUGAAAUCGUUGGAAGUUUCCGAAGAAAAGGCCAAUCAACGAGUGGAAGAGUACAAGCAUCAAAUCAAACAACUCACCGUAAAAUUAAAGGAGGCUGAAGCUCGUGCUGAAUUUGCCGAGAAGACCGUUAAGAAAUUGCAGAAGGAAGUUGACAGACUUGAAGAUGAUCUCUUCAAAGAGAAAGAAAAAUCCAAAGAAAUCACGGAUGACUUGGAUUCGACAUUUGCUGAACUCACUGGCUACUAACCAAAUACAAUUUCUGCAUAGCCUUCAUUUGUUUUAUUCUUGUAUUUUAUGUUCGAGUUUUGUCAUAAACCAACGUAGCUUUUUGUAAAAAUAAUGCUUUUUUAUUUUAUUUUUUCAUUUAUUUUGCUUUUUUGUCGUUGUAAUAUGUUUUGUCUCCAGUUGUUGCUGUACAAAUUCGCUUCUAUAACUGCCAGAUGAACUCGGCCUCAACAAAGACAGAUAUAAGUCUUUGGCCGACGAGAUGGACUCCACAUUUGCUGAAUUGGCUGGAUAUUAACCUU